rnacentral:misc_RNA from 1 species
AUCAAAUCUGGGGGUGAGGUAGCCCUGUUGCUUACCUUACGGUCUACAGUUCCAUAUUGAGAUUGGUAGAUUUAAGGCUCUUUCACAAUUUUACACUUCUAAAAGAGGGCCAUAUGAGAUCAGUUUGAAAUUUUUAUCACAGUUGGGGAUCGAAUAUGUCAGAGUGCAUUUUUGGGAAGAUGGAAGUGUCACUUUGAAGUGAGUUCACUGAGGGGAAAUUGAGAUGGCUUGCAUGCCCAUUUUAGACCAAAAAAUGCGCUGGAAUGGAAGGUCAAGAUAGUGAAGUUGCAAAAGAGAAGAAAAAUGUUAGAAGUAGACCUAGGAUAGCUUGGGGUGACAUGGUGAAAACUGAAAAGGUCUUGGCCGCUCUACAUCUUUAUGUGAGUGCUCUCCCAAAACCUCAUGGAAUUGAGGAAAAGAAUUCAUUUAGUUGACCCCAAAUAGAUUAGGUUAGGGCUUAAUUGAGUUAAGGAAAGCUAAAGAAUUUUAUGUUCGUUCUUGCAUUCACAUGCACUAGAUGAGACCUGUUAUUAAAUGAGUAAAUAGGCAUGCUAUUUUACUUGGGACAGCCCACUGCAACUGACCAGGAUUUUUUUUUUAAGCAAGGGCUUUAUAUUUUACAAAAUGAAAGUGUUGAAACCUUUGUCUAGUAAUUCAUUUUGAG